UUUAAUAUUAAGAAACUUACAUGUAAUUAAUGAUUUUUGAUGAUUAAUAUAAAAGAGAAGAGGCUUCUCAACCUCAACCCUAAUUCAGUUUUCUCCCUAAUCACUUCGAAUCAUAUGGUAUCAUAGCCUUAAUUGAUCCAAACCCUAACCCUAACCUUAUCCUGUGCAAUCUCCAAUCACCACUAGACGAAUUUCGGCGAGUAAAAUCUUGCCUGAGAAGGGCUUGCCACAGCCAGUCCAGUUCAGCCGGAGCCCACCCAGGCUUGUCUGGUCUUGUCGAAGGCUUGUCGAGGCUCUAUUGGACCUCUUUGAGGCUUGUCGAAGGCUGUUUGGUUUCAAAUCAAUUACUUUUCAGGUUAUUUUUUUGAUGUUCUAAAUGGAGUUGUUCGUUUUGUAACUCUUUGUCAACAAAGCGUGGCAUUGUGAUUGUUGUGGGUUUUAUUAUUUUUUUUAUCACUAUGUCGGAGGAUAAUCAAAUUAGUAAGACUACA
rnacentral:lncRNA from 1 species